rnacentral:pre_miRNA from 1 species
UGAAAGACAUGGGUAGUGAGAUGUUCUUACGCAAUCGCGUCUCACUAUCUUGUCUUUC